rnacentral:misc_RNA from 1 species
CCGAAGUUACCCUUCUAAACCCUUUGUGAACCCUACCCCCGCCGGCGGCGCCAAACUCUUAUUUGCACAGCGGAAACGCCUCUGAUUUUGGAAUAAAACAAGUCA